AAAUUGAAGAGUUUGAUCAUGGCUCAGAUUGAACGCUGGCGGCAGGCCUAACACAUGCAAGUCGAACGGUAACAGGAAGCAGCUUGCUGCUUUGCUGACGAGUGGCGGACGGGUGAGUAAUGUCUGGGAAACUGCCUGAUGGAGGGGGAUAACUACUGGAAACGGUGGCUAAUACCGCAUAACGUCGCAAGACCAAAGAGGGGGACCUUCGGGCCUCUUGCCAUCAGAUGUGCCCAGAUGGGAUUAGCUUGUUGGUGAGGUAACGGCUCACCAAGGCGACGAUCCCUAGCUGGUCUGAGAGGAUGACCAGCCACACUGGAACUGAGACACGGUCCAGACUCCUACGGGAGGCAGCAGUGGGGAAUAUUGCACAAUGGGCGCAAGCCUGAUGCAGCCAUGCCGCGUGUAUGAAGAAGGCCUUCGGGUUGUAAAGUACUUUCAGCGGGGAGGAAGGUGUUGUGGUUAAUAACCACAGCAAUUGACGUUACCCGCAGAAGAAGCACCGGCUAACUCCGUGCCAGCAGCCGCGGUAAUACGGAGGGUGCAAGCGUUAAUCGGAAUUACUGGGCGUAAAGCGCACGCAGGCGGUCUGUCAAGUCGGAUGUGAAAUCCCCGGGCUCAACCUGGGAACUGCAUUCGAAACUGGCAGGCUUGAGUCUUGUAGAGGGGGGUAGAAUUCCAGGUGUAGCGGUGAAAUGCGUAGAGAUCUGGAGGAAUACCGGUGGCGAAGGCGGCCCCCUGGACAAAGACUGACGCUCAGGUGCGAAAGCGUGGGGAGCAAACAGGAUUAGAUACCCUGGUAGUCCACGCCGUAAACGAUGUCUACUUGGAGGUUGUGCCCUUGAGGCGUGGCUUCCGGAGCUAACGCGUUAAGUAGACCGCCUGGGGAGUACGGCCGCAAGGUUAAAACUCAAAUGAAUUGACGGGGGCCCGCACAAGCGGUGGAGCAUGUGGUUUAAUUCGAUGCAACGCGAAGAACCUUACCUGGUCUUGACAUCCACAGAACUUUCCAGAGAUGGAUUGGUGCCUUCGGGAACUGUGAGACAGGUGCUGCAUGGCUGUCGUCAGCUCGUGUUGUGAAAUGUUGGGUUAAGUCCCGCAACGAGCGCAACCCUUAUCCUUUGUUGCCAGCGAUUAGGUCGGGAACUCAAAGGAGACUGCCAGUGAUAAACUGGAGGAAGGUGGGGAUGACGUCAAGUCAUCAUGGCCCUUACGACCAGGGCUACACACGUGCUACAAUGGCGCAUACAAAGAGAAGCGACCUCGCGAGAGCAAGCGGACCUCAUAAAGUGCGUCGUAGUCCGGAUUGGAGUCUGCAACUCGACUCCAUGAAGUCGGAAUCGCUAGUAAUCGUGGAUCAGAAUGCCACGGUGAAUACGUUCCCGGGCCUUGUACACACCGCCCGUCACACCAUGGGAGUGGGUUGCAAAAGAAGUAGGUAGCUUAACCUUCGGGAGGGCGCUUACCACUUUGUGAUUCAUGACUGGGGUGAAGUCGUAACAAGGUAACCGUAGGGGAACCUGCGGUUGGAUCACCUCCUUACCUGAAAGAA
rnacentral:rRNA from 2 species